rnacentral:rRNA from 1 species
CAGCCGCCGCGGUAAUACCGGCGGCCCGAGUGGCGGUCACUAUUAUUGGGCUUAAAGCGUCCGUAGCCGGGUUGGGAAGGCCUCCGGGGAAUCUGGCCGCUUAACGGUCAGAAUGCCGGAGGAUACUCCCAGCCUAGGGAGCGGGGGAGGCCGAGGGGAUUCCCGGAGUAGGGGGGAAAUCCUAUAAUCCCGGGAGGACCACCGGUGGCGAAGGCGCUCGGCUGGAACGCGUCCGACGGGGAGGGACGAAGGCCAGGGGAGCAAACCGGAUUAGAUACCCGGGUAGUCCUGGCUGUAAACGAUGCGGACUUUGUGUCGGACAAGCUAUGAGCUUGUCCGGUGCCGGAGGGAAACCGUUAAGUCCGCCGCCUGGGGAGUACGGCCGCAAGGCUGAAACUUAAAGGAAUUGGCGGG